AUAAAGCAUAUAACAGGGUCCACUGCCAGUACCUUCCUUGAAUAUAUUCAAAGAAAUUUACCGGAAGGAAUGGCUAUGAAGGUUACAAAGAUUCAGAUUGAACAGCUUCCCAGUCACAUUAAGCCUCCAGCAGACGCAGCCAAUCAGAUUCAAAGUUCACAGCAAACAACAAAGCACUAAAUGAUAUAAUUAAUAAUAGAACAUUAUUAUUGUGUUUGUAUAACAUUAUAUUUUCUUGUGUGAUUAUAUAUAAUGCCAACAAAUAUAAUUGCAAAUGAUUUUCUGGUCUGUUUAAAGGUUGAUUAAUUUACAUGACCUUGUUGCUGGGUUUAUACUUGUAGAAUAUUACAAAUAUGUAUACCUGUCUCCCUUUCCCUACUUGCACAAUCACUUUAACGAAACCAAUCAUAAAUAGGGAGGGUGGGGUGAGUCAUUCCUUCUGACAUGGCUCCAGAAAAUGCAGGCUCAUGUUGUUCAACAUUGUACUUGAUAUUAGCAGACUAGAUAGUAGCCCUAGGCAAACAAAACUUAAAGACCAUACUGAUCUGUAGGCCACAGUUUGUUUUUGUUUCCCUCCAGUUUUUUGAGAAGAAAGAAUAGAAAUAUUGUUUGUAAACAAUUUGUCUGAAAAGUUAGGAUUGGAUAUGUUUUUGUUUUUUUAAUUAUCUGUAAAUGUUGUAAUCUAAAACAAAUCCAUAUUAAUUUGAGUAUUCUUUGAUUGUUGAGCAAAUGUGGCAAUUAAAAGUAAUUCAAUUUUUGCUGUAA
rnacentral:sRNA from 1 species